CUGUGAGCUCGAUGAGUAGGGCGGGACACGUGGUAUCCUGUCUGAAUAUGGGGGGACCAUCCUCCAAGGCUAAAUACUCCUGACUGACCGAUAGUGAACCAGUACCGUGAGGGAAAGGCGAAAAGAACCCCGGCGAGGGGAGUGAAAAAGAACCUGAAACCGUGUACGUACAAGCAGUGGGAGCACAGAGCAAUCUGUGUGACUGCGUACCUUUUGUAUAAUGGGUCAGCGACUUAUAUUCUGUAGCAAGGUUAACCGAAUAGGGGAGCCGAAGGGAAACCGAGUCUUAACUGGGCGUUAAGUUGCAGGGUAUAGACCCGAAACCCGGUGAUCUAGCCAUGGGCAGGUUGAAGGUUGGGUAACACUAACUGGAGGACCGAACCGACUAAUGUUGAAAAAUUAGCGGAUGACUUGUGGCUGGGGGUGAAAGGCCAAUCAAACCGGGAGAUAGCUGGUUCUCCCCGAAAGCUAUUUAGGUAGCGCCUCGUGAAUUCAUCUCCGGGGGUAGAGCACUGUUUCGGCAAGGGGGUCAUCCCGACUUACCAACCCGAUGCAAACUGCGAAUACCGGAGAAUGUUAUCACGGGAGACACACGGCGGGUGCUAACGUCCGUCGUGAAGAGGGAAACAACCCAGACCGCCAGCUAAGGUCCCAAAGUCAUGGUUAAGUGGGAAACGAUGUGGGAAGGCCCAGACAGCCAGGAUGUUGGCUUAGAAGCAGCCAUCAUUUAAAGAAAGCGUAAUAGCUCACUGGUCGAGUCGGCCUGCGCGGAAGAUGUAACGGGGCUAAACCAUGCACCGAAGCUGCGGCAGCGACGCUUAUGCGUUGUUGGGUAGGGGAGCGUUCUGUAAGCCUGCGAAGGUGUGCUGUGAGGCAUGCUGGAGGUAUCAGAAGUGCGAAUGCUGACAUAAGUAACGAUAAAGCGGGUGAAAAGCCCGCUCGCCGGAAGACCAAGGGUUCCUGUCCAACGUUAAUCGGGGCAGGGUGAGUCGACCCCUAAGGCGAGGCCGAAAGGCGUAGUCGAUGGGAAACAGGUUAAUAUUCCUGUACUUGGUGUUACUGCGAAGGGGGGACGGAGAAGGCUAUGUUGGCCGGGCGACGGUUGUCCCGGUUUAAGCGUGUAGGCUGGUUUUCCAGGCAAAUCCGGAAAAUCAAGGCUGAGGCGUGAUGACGAGGCACUACGGUGCUGAAGCAACAAAUGCCCUGCUUCCAGGAAAAGCCUCUAAGCAUCAGGUAACAUCAAAUCGUACCCCAAACCGACACAGGUGGUCAGGUAGAGAAUACCAAGGCGCUUGAGAGAACUCGGGUGAAGGAACUAGGCAAAAUGGUGCCGUAACUUCGGGAGAAGGCACGCUGAUAUGUAGGUGAAGUCCCUCGCGGAUGGAGCUGAAAUCAGUCGAAGAUACCAGCUGGCUGCAACUGUUUAUUAAAAACACAGCACUGUGCAAACACGAAAGUGGACGUAUACGGUGUGACGCCUGCCCGGUGCCGGAAGGUUAAUUGAUGGGGUCAGCGCAAGCGAAGCUCUUGAUCGAAGCCCCGGUAAACGGCGGCCGUAACUAUAACGGUCCUAAGGUAGCGAAAUUCCUUGUCGGGUAAGUUCCGACCUGCACGAAUGGCGUAAUGAUGGCCAGGCUGUCUCCACCCGAGACUCAGUGAAAUUGAACUCGCUGUGAAGAUGCAGUGUACCCGCGGCAAGACGGAAAGACCCCGUGAACCUUUACUAUAGCUUGACACUGAACAUUGAGCCUUGAUGUGUAGGAUAGGUGGGAGGCUUUGAAGUGUGGACGCCAGUCUGCAUGGAGCCGACCUUGAAAUACCACCCUUUAAUGUUUGAUGUUCUAACGUUGACCCGUGAUCCGGGUUGCGGACAGUGUCUGGUGGGUAGUUUGACUGGGGCGGUCUCCUCCUAAAGAGUAACGGAGGAGCACGAAGGUUGGCUAAUCCUGGUCGGACAUCAGGAGGUUAGUGCAAUGGCAUAAGCCAGCUUGACUGCGAGCGUGACGGCGCGAGCAGGUGCGAAAGCAGGUCAUAGUGAUCCGGUGGUUCUGAAUGGAAGGGCCAUCGCUCAACGGAUAAAAGGUACUCCGGGGAUAACAGGCUGAUACCGCCCAAGAGUUCAUAUCGACGGCGGUGUUUGGCACCUCGAUGUCGGCUCAUCACAUCCUGGGGCUGAAGUAGGUCCCAAGGGUAUGGCUGUUCGCCAUUUAAAGUGGUACGCGAGCUGGGUUUAGAACGUCGUGAGACAGUUCGGUCCCUAUCUGCCGUGGGCGCUGGAGAACUGAGGGGGGCUGCUCCUAGUACGAGAGGACCGGAGUGGACGCAUCACUGGUGUUCGGGUUGUCAUGCCAAUGGCACUGCCCGGUAGCUAAAUGCGGAAGAGAUAAGUGCUGAAAGCAUCUAAGCACGAAACUUGCCCCGAGAUGAGUUCUCCCUGACUCCUUGAGAGUCCUGAAGGAACGUUGAAGACGACGACGUUGAUAGGCCGGGUGUGUAAGCGCAGCGAUGCGUUGAGCUAACCGGUACUAAUGAACCGUGAGGCUUAACCUU
rnacentral:rRNA from 1 species